rnacentral:rRNA from 1 species
AGGAUUCCCCUAGUAACUGCGAGUGAAGCGGGAAAAGCUCAAAUUUAAAAUCCGUCCUCAGACGGAGUUGUAAUCUAGAGAAGUGUUUUCGGCCGCGGACCUGGCUAAGUCCCUUGGAACAGGGCGUCGUAGAGGGUGACAAUCCCGUACUUAUCAGGCACCCCGCGUCUAUGUGAUACACUCUCGAAGAGUCGAGUUGUUUGGGAAUGCAGCUCAAAAUGGGUGGUAAAUUCCAUCUAAAGCUAAAUAUUGGCGAGAGACCGAUAGCGAACAAGUACCGUGAGGGAAAGAUGAAAAGCACUUUGGAAAGAGAGUUAAACAGUACGUGAAAUUGCUAAAAGGGAAGCGCUUGAAGUCAGUCGCGUUUAUGAGACUCAGCCUCACGGUGUAUUUCUCUUGAACGGGCCAACAUCGAUUUUGGGCGCGGGAAAAGGGUUUGGGGAAUGUGGCAACCUCGGUUGUGUUAUAGCCUCUUACCGUACACCGCGCCCGGGAUCGAGGACCGCGGCUUUGCCUAGGAUGUUGGCGUAAUGGCUUUAAGCGACCCGUCUUGAAACACGGACCAAGGAGUCUAACAUGUCUGCGAGUGUUUGGGUGUCAAACCCAUGCGCGUAAUGAAAGUAAAUGUAGGUGGGAGGCCUCGGCCGCACCAUCGACCGAUCCGGAUCUCUUGUGAUGGAUUUGAGUAAGAGCAUAUAUGUUGGGACCCGAAAGAUGGUGAACUAUGCCUGAAUAGGGCGAAGCCAGAGGAAACUCUGGUGGAGGCUCGUAGCGAUUCUGACGUGCAAAUCGAUCGUCAAAUUUGGGUAUAGGGGCGAAAGACUAAUCGA